rnacentral:SRP_RNA from 1 species
CGGCUGUCAUGGUCGUCAAGUAGGAAGACCCUGCAAUACCAUACACGCGCCCGCAUUCUCGUCUUUCACAAGUCGCCCGGCAGCAGCGCCCAGUCCGAACAGAGCGGUGGCCCCCCACUCGUGCAGGUAACUCACGAUGCUGGACUAAGGGGCCUUAAGCAAUGGAGAUGAUUUCUCGAGGGAGGCCUCACUCUGCAGAGAGCUCUCCACCGCGCUGUGGCGGUGCCGGAUUACGUUGGCUGUGGGUUGCGCGCGCGGUGUGGUGGUGGGAGUCGACCUUUUUUU